GCGGACGUGGUGAAAUUGGUAGACACGCUGGAUUUAGGUUCCAGUGCCGCAAGGUGUGAGAGUUCGAGUCUCUCCGUCCGCACCA
rnacentral:tRNA from 11 species